CUCAUAAAGAACCCAGGACUCAGCCUCACAGAUGGCUAACCCGCUUUCAGGACAAGAACUUGGAAGUUGCUGAGCUGCGGAUGGCGGGAGUAAAAAACUUGUAACCUUCCCUCCUGCUCCCCGAACAAUGUAAGAGAAGAAACCGUUGAACACUACUCCCUCCUGUUAGCCCAACUGCGAGAGCGAAGUCCCUGGCUUACCCACCGAGCUAGUUGUGGGAGGUGGGAGUAAAAGAGCUGUAACCUUCUCUCUCACUCGAGGAACUACCCUCCUGCUUGCCAAAUUACAGAGGCGAAAAAGCCACAUAUCAGAGGAGACUUCAGGGUAUGUUUAUAUCUAUAUUAUAGGAUUUUUAAAAGAUUAAAUGAAGUAGCAUUUC